rnacentral:lncRNA from 1 species
UGCUGAACAAAGGAACUUCUCAGUUAGGAAUAUUCAGGGUGUGAUUAAAUGUCCCAGAAGGAGAAAAGCCUGUAAACAAGGACGAUAUUCCAGCCCAAUCAAGAGGAAACCAACUCCUAUUCUCUCCUGCAGAAAGCCUGAUCUCUGUGCACAGCGAAAACUAUCCUUUUGGCUAGAAACUUGGAUUUCAGCCUGGUGAGAAAUGAAGAGAUGUGCUUAAAAUGGAAGCACUUGGGUGAAGCCAUCCAGUCAGAGAGAGAACCCACAAGAGCUGAGAGUUAUUCCAAGGUGUCA